AUUGAACGCUGGCGGCAGGCUUAACACAUGCAAGUCGAGCGGGGAAAGGUAGCUUGCUACCUGACCUAGCGGCGGACGGGUGAGUAAUGCUUAGGAAUCUGCCUAUUAGUGGGGGACAACAUCUCGAAAGGGAUGCUAAUACCGCAUACGUCCUACGGGAGAAAGCAGGGGACCUUCGGGCCUUGCGCUAAUAGAUGAGCCUAAGUCGGAUUAGCUAGUUGGUGGGGUAAAGGCCUACCAAGGCGACGAUCUGUAGCGGGUCUGAGAGGAUGAUCCGCCACACUGGGACUGAGACACGGCCCAGACUCCUACGGGAGGCGGCAGUGGGGAAUAUUGGACAAUGGGGGGAACCCUGAUCCAGCCAUGCCGCGUGUGUGAAGAAGGCCUUUGGGUUGUAAAGCACUUUAAGCGAGGAGGAGGCUACCGAGAUUAAUACUCUUGGAUAGUGGACGUUACUCGCAGAAUAAGCACCGGCUAACUCUGUG
rnacentral:rRNA from 1 species